GACGAACGCUGGCGGCGUGCCUAAUACAUGCAAGUCGAGCGGACGGAUGGGAGCUUGCUCCCAGACCGUCAGCGGCGGACGGGUGAGUAACACGUGGGCAACCUGCCUGUAAGACUGGGAUAACUCCGGGAAACCGGGGCUAAUACCGGAUAACUCUUUCCCUCACAUGAGGGAAAGCUGAAAGAUGGCAUCUCGCUAUCACUUACAGAUGGGCCCGCGGCGCAUUAGCUAGUUGGUGAGGUAACGGCUCACCAAGGCGACGAUGCGUAGCCGACCUGGGAGGGUGAUCGGCCACACUGGGACUGAGACACGGCCCAGACUCCUACGGGAGGCAGCAGUAGGGAAUCUUCCGCAAAGGACGAAAGUCUGACGGAGCAACGCCGCGUGAGUGAUGAAGGUUUUCGGAUCGUAAAACUCUGUUGUCAGGGAAGAACAAGUACCGGAGCAACUGCCGGUACCUUGACGGUACCUGACCAGAAAGCCACGGCUAACUACGUG
rnacentral:rRNA from 1 species